ACCCGCACAAGCAGCGGAGCGUUGUGGUUUAAUUCGUUGCUACACGAAGAACCUUACCUGGGUUUGACAUUAUAGGUUGUAGGGAAACUGAAAAGGGACCGACCCUUCGGGGAGCCUAUACAGGUGUUGCAUGGCUGUCGUCAGCUCGUGUCGUGAGAUGUUCGGUUAAGUCCGCUAACGAGCGCAACCCUCGUCGUAUGUUAUAUGUGUCAUACGAGACUGCCGGUAAAAGCCGGAGGAAGGUGAGGAUGAUGUCAAGUCAGCAUGACCUUUAUAUCCAGGGCUACACACACGCUACAAUGGUCUGUACAAUGGGUAGCCAAGCCGCGAGGCGGAGCCAAUCCUGAAAGCAGGCCUCAGUUCAGAUUGCAGUCUGCAACUCGACUGCAUGAAGCCGGAGUUGCUAGUAACCGCAGGUCAGCAAUACUGCGGUGAAUACGUUCCCGGGUCUU
rnacentral:rRNA from 1 species